rnacentral:rRNA from 1 species
AAUAGAUACCCAGGUAGUCCACGCCGUAAACGAUGAGUGCUAAGUGUUAGGGGGUUUCCGCCCCUUAGUGCUGCAGCUAACGCAUUAAGCACUCCGCCUGGGGAGUACGGCCGCAAGGCUGAAACUCAAAGGAAUUGACGGGGGCCCGCACAAGCGGUGGAGCAUGUGGUUUAAUUCGAAGCAACGCGAAGAACCUUACCAGGUCUUGACAUCCUCUGACAACCCUAGAGAUAGGGCGUUCCCCCUUCGGGGGACAGAGUGACAGGUGGUGCAUGGUUGUCGUCAGCUCGUGUCGUGAGAUGUUGGGUUAAGUCCCGCAACGAGCGCAACCCUUGAUCUUAGUUGCCAGCAUUUAGUUGGGCACUCUAAGGUGACUGCCGGUGACAAACCGGAGGAAGGUGGGGAUGACGUCAAAUCAUCAUGCCCCUUAUGACCUGGGCUACACACGUGCUACAAUGGAUGGUACAAAGGGCUGCCAAACCGCGAGGUUGAGCGAAUCCCAUAAAACCAUUCUCAGUUCGGAUUGCAGGCUGCAACCG